ensembl:lncRNA
GUAUGAUUUUUAUUUUUACUUUGGGCCCAGCCCGGUUUAAUAUCCUUAUGCAUGAUCUGGAUGAGGGGACUGAGUGUAUCCUCAGUAGGUUUAUGGAUGACACCGGGACAGGAAGAGGUGUCCAUCUGCCUGAGGAUAGGAUGGCCCUACAGAAGGAUCUGGACAGGCUGGGUCACCGGGCUGAGGCCAAUCCUAUGAGCUUCAACAAGACUGAGUGCCAGGUCCUGCACUUUGGUCACAACAACUUUGUGCAAUGCUGCUGCCUUGGGGCAGAGUGGCUGGAAAGUUGCACAGAAGAAAAGAAUCUCAGGAUGUUAGUUGACAGCCAGCUGAGCAUGAGCCAGCAGCGUGUCCAGGUGGCCGAUAAGGCCAAUGGCAUCCUGCCUUGUAUCAGAAAUAGUGCAGUCAGCAGGGCAGGGAGAUUCUGUACUCAGCACCAGUGGGCCGCACCUCAAGUACUGUGUUAAGUUUUGGGGCCCUCACUACAAGAAAGACAUUGAGGCCCUGAAGCAUGUCUAGAGAAGGGCAAUGAAGCUGUGAAGGAUCUGGAGCACAAAUCUUAUGAGGAGCAGCUGAGGGAAUCGGGAUUGUUCAGUCUGGAGAUGAGGAGGCUCAGGGGAGACCUCAUUGCUCUCUACAACUCCCUGAAAGGAGGUUGGGGUGAGGUGGGGAUCGGCCUCUUCUCCUGCAUCGCUAGCGAUAAAGGCAAGAGGGAAUGACCUUAAGUUGCGUCAGGGGAGGCUCAGGAGAUUAAGAAAAAUUUCUUCUCCAGAACAUGGUGAGAUUGUCUAAGGCUUCAUGUUGCAUCAUGACUCAGCAGAAGGAACCAGUCUGAAUUGGAAAGGGAGAGGUUCCCAGAGCUCAACAAACAUAUUUCCAAUUCCAGAGAUCCUCAACCAGUAUUCCCCCAUUUUAAACUUCAUAAUCAGACAACACACAGUGAG